GAUGAACGCUGGCGGCGUGCCUAAUACAUGCAAGUCGAGCGAACAGAUGAGGAGCUUGCUCCUCUGACGUUAGCGGCGGACGGGUGAGUAACACGUGGAUAACCUACCUAUAAGACUGGGAUAACUUCGGGAAACCGGAGCUAAUACCGGAUAAUAUAUUGAACCGCAUGGUUCAAUAGUGAAAGACGGUUUUGCUGUCACUUAUAGAUGGAUCCGCGCCGCAUUAGCUAGUUGGUAAGGUAACGGCUUACCAAGGCAACGAUGCGUAGCCGACCCGAGAGGGUGGUCGGCCACACUGGAACUGAGACACGGUCCAGACUCCUACGGGAGGCAGCAGUAGGGAAUCUUCCGCAAUGGGCGAAAGCCUGACGGAGCAACGCCGCGUGAGUGAUGAAGGUCUUCGGAUCGUAAAACUCUGUUAUUAGGGAAGAACAAAUGUGUAAGUAACUAUGCACGUCUUGACGGUACCUAAUCAGAAAGCCACGGCUAACUACGUG
rnacentral:rRNA from 1 species